rnacentral:rRNA from 1 species
ACGCUGGCGGCGUGCUUAACACAUGCAAGUCGAACGGAGUUCCUUGGAUAGAGGCUCCGGCCAAUUGAAAUGGAACUUAGUGGCGGACUGGUGAGUAACGCGUGAGGAACCUGCCUUUCAGAGGGGGACAACAGUUGGAAACGACUGCUAAUACCGCAUGACACAUUCGGAUGGCAUCACCUGAAUGUCAAAGAUUUUAUCGCUGAAAGAUGGCCUCGCGUCUGAUUAGCUAGUUGGUGAGGUAACGGCCCACCAAGGCGACGAUCAGUAGCCGGACUGAGAGGUUGAACGGCCACAUUGGGACUGAGAUACGGCCCAGACUCCUACGGGAGGCAGCAGUGAGGAAUAUUGGUCAAUGGUCGGAAGACUGAACCAGCCAAGUAGCGUGAAGGAUGAAGGUUCUAUGGAUUGUAAACUUCUUUUAUACGGGAAUAAAACCACCUACGUGUAGCUAAAGAGGAAGCCACGGCUAACUACGUG